UACGAAGGGGGCGAGCGUUGUUCGGAAUUACUGGGCGUAAAGGGCGCGUAGGCGGCCCCUUUUGUCGCGUGUGAAAGCCCCGGGCUCAACCUGGGAACGGCGCGCGAAACUGGGGGACUUGAGUACAGAAGAGGAAAGCGGAAUUCCACGUGUAGCGGUGAAAUGCGUAGAGAUGUGGAGGAACACCAGUGGCGAAGGCGGCUUUUGGUCUGUAACUGACGCUGAGGCGCGAAAGCGUGGGAGCAACAGG
rnacentral:rRNA from 1 species